ACAGGGUGACAGGUGGUGCAUGGUUGUCGGUCAGCUCGUGUCGUGAGAUGUUGGGUUAAGUCCCGCAACGAGCGCAACCCUCGACCUUAGUUGCCAGCAUUCAGUUGGGCACUCUAAGGUGACUGCCGGCUAAAAGUCGGAGGAAGGUGGGGAUGACGUCAAAUCAUCAUGCCCCUUAUGACCUGGGCUACACACGUGCUACAAUGGGCGGUACAAAGGGUCGCGAACCCGCGAGGGGGAGCCAAUCCCAAAAAGCCGCUCUCAGUUCGGAUUGCAGGCUGCAACUCGCCUGCAUGAAGCCGGAAUCGCUAGUAAUCGCGGAUCAGCAUGCCGCGGUGAAUACGUUCCCGGGCCUU
rnacentral:rRNA from 1 species